UCCUGUCUUUCCUUGUUGGAGC
rnacentral:miRNA from 1 species